UACGUAGGCAGCGAGCGUUGUUCGGAGUUACUGGGCGUAAAGGGUGUGUAGGCGGUUUUCUAAGUUUGGUGGGAAAUCUCCCGGCUCAACCGGGAGGGUGCGCCGAAAACUGGGAGACUAGAGUGCGGGAUGGGAGAGUAGAAUUCCUGGUGUAGCGGUGAAAUGCGUAGAUAUCAGGAGGAAUACGGGUGGUUUAGCCGGCUCUCUGGACCGCCACUGACGCUGAGACACGAAAGCGUGGGUAGCAAACAGG
rnacentral:rRNA from 1 species